rnacentral:tRNA from 1 species
GGGUUUGUAGCUCGGUUAGAGAAUACCGGCUUGAUAAGCGGGUCGUAGGUUCAAGUCCUACCAGACCCACCA